rnacentral:ncRNA from 1 species
UUUAGGUCUGUGGUUGCAAGUCCAAGCCAGUCGCGGGCAAAGGGAUCCACGUAAGCAUCAUAAAAAAUAAUGGGUAGAUGUGAGCAUGGCGCGGCUUAGAAGUAAGACCUGCCGAUAAAAUAAUCGAGAGGAUUAGUAGUGAGCUAACGUGAGCGAAAGUUCCAGCAGGCGAGUGUGGGGUCAAAGAUCAGGUCAGCUAA